rnacentral:lncRNA from 1 species
GGGGGAAAAUAAAAAGUCAGGGUGCAUUUAUAUGUAAUUUUAUUUGUCCUGAGGCCAGCCUGACUAUGAAAAACAAAGGUUGAUGUAGGGCACAAAGCUUUCGCUCAAGAUAGAUGUUGGACUUUGGGACUAUACCUGUCAACACAGUUCUAGUUUUUGGGGGUAAUGACCUUCUUAAGAGAUGUGAGGUGAUAUUUCACUGUGAUUUUGAAUUGUAUUUCGGUGUGGAUGUUUUCUUAAUUUUUUUUGAGAUCAUUUAUUGUUAGUGUAGAGAAGUACACUAAUUUUUGUAUCUUGAUUUUGUAUCCUAUGACUUAGUGCUGAAUUUAUUAGUUUAAAACUCAUGGAUAUAUGAGAAACUGUAUGGAAGUUCAUCUCAGUUAAAAGAGAAGCUCCUAAAAAGAUUUUAAAUAUAACCAAAAAGAAGCAAAAGUCUUUAAACUACUUUCUAUUUUGUAAACUUUGUAACUUAAAUUGUAAAACUCAUUUCUACUUUACAUAGUUUUAAAAGGAGAUCUGAUUAGGAGUCUUUAUAUAGAGCACGUCAGACAAAACUUCUUAAAGGAGAUGUAAACAGAAAAGUUAACAGGAAGGUAAACUAUCACUGCAAUAAGAAAACAAAAUGUGUGUAAUAAAAGUGUUAAUAAGAAUAAAAUAGCUUCUACAACUCUCAGGAGAGACAUGAGGACUUAUAGAUAGUCUCUUUCUUUUUUAAAUAAAUGAAGAGAAGAAUGGAAUGUAGGAUAAUCAAAAUGGCUGGAGCACAGCUCUUUAAAAAUAAGUUUUCAAUUUGCACAACUGAAGAAAUAACAUUAUUUCCUCUAAAGGCUCAUGAGGAAACACAAGUAAUGAAGCAGCAGGCAAAACAAAAUAGAAAAUGUGAAUGAAACAGAGUGGCUUGUGUUUGGGGUCCUAAAAUCAAAUAGCUUGAUUUAACAAAUUAUUUUUGGGAAAACAGAACUUGUAAGCAACAGUAUUAUUUUUAAAAAGUGGUCCAUUUUCAAACUAAAACCCUAAAUAUUUAGGUAGCAGAUUUUCCUUAACUCUGUAUUACUGACCCAAUCUGAGUAAAUAGUAAAAUAAAAUGAAAGCAGGAAGGAACACUGAUGCUUUUUAGGAGAAAAAUUUACAAUGAUAAUGAUUAGCAAUGCUUAUUUGUCCCAGUUUUUAAGCAUGACUCAUAAUCAUGAUCAUAUGUGAUUGAAUGCUCAUAUGUGGCCUGCAGUCUGAAAUAUUUACUACCUGGCCCUUAUGGAAAAGGUUUUCUCACCCUUAGACUGACAGAUAGCAUUUGAAUUAUCUUCCCAUUAGUUGUUCCCUCUGUAAGAGUGAUGAAUAAAAAUCAUUAGAAGGAAUGAUUGUAAAAUACUUGACAAUAUUGGAGUCCAAUAUACAUUUGUCAUGACAGUGAGCAGCUUAGUUGUAGGAAAGUUCCUUCUCAAUUGGUCGGUUCCUGCAGGAGUGUAGAUUCUUCUUGUUUUAUAGUUCAAGUUCCAAAGAUCAAUGUAGAGUAAGAGUAUUUUAUGCUCUCCUUUUCCAGUGAUCUCAAAAGCAUUUUAAAGCAUUAACUAAACCUUGUGGCAAAUAUUAUCUCCAUUUUACAAAUGCAAAAAUUAAAGCAGUGAGAAUUUAAAUGACUUCUUUAGAGUCAUGUGGUAAAAUAAUAGAAGAAUGGGGAAUAAAACUAUUCUCAUGAGUCAGUACAUUAUCCCUUUGAUUGUUCUCUAGCUCCAGCAUACAGUUAAAAUGCUUCUAGAAUGGUUUCCAUUUAUUCUUUUGUCUUUUGGGGUAAGGAUAGGAAGGAUACUUACUUGGUAAGUUGUGACUUAUUUCAGCCAUACAAUCAAUCAAACAAAUCUACAAAAGAAAACUUGACCAACAUCUCAUUCACAUUCUGGAUCAUUCCUAGAAUGUGAAAGUUGGGUUAGGAAAAAAUUUCAGAAGAAAUUGAAAUUAUUUGAAAUGGAACAAAGAAGGAAUUUAAUAGGGCUUAAAAUGUGUUAAACUACUCUUUCAUUCUUUUGUGAAAUGUCAGGACCUCAGUUGAAGCCAAGAAAAUAUUAACGUAUAUUUUGAGUUGUUGGGCAAAGAGAGAUGGAUUCAUAAUUUUUAUUCCAUUCUGCAAGAGUAGAGUGAGGCUACCAAAUCACUAAGAUGAGAGGAUGAGUCUGAAGACCUAUAUGCCUCCUCUUGAGACAGAAGCACAUUAUUCCUCAAUAUCUGAAAUUCUCUUCCUUUGUCAAAGCACAGUUCAAAGGCUCAGCAUUCUCAGGUGGCUCAGUUGAUUAAAAGCCCGACUCUUGGUUUGGGCUCAGGUUGUGAUCUCAGGGUUGUGAUCCCAAGGACGUGAAAUCAAGCACCAUGUCAGGCUCUGUGAUCAGUGCAGAGUUUGCUUGAGAUUCUCUCCCUGUCUCCCUCUAUCCCUCCGUUCUCUCUCUCUCUCAAACAAAUAAAUUUUAUUCAUUUAUUCAGGAGAGAGAGAUAGAGACAGAGAGAGAAAGAGAGAGAAAGAAAGGCAGAGACACAGGCAGAGGGAGAAGCAGGCUCUCCGCAGGAGCCCCAUGUGGGACUCCAUCCCGGACCCCGGAAAUCACACCCUGAGUCAAAGGCAGACGCUCAACCACUGAGGUACCUAGGCAUCCCAAUAAAUACAUCUUAAAAACAACAACAACAACAACAACAACUAAAUACAAAAAAAAAAAAA